rnacentral:rRNA from 1 species
GACGAACGCUGGCGGCGUGCCUAACACAUGCAAGUCGAGCGAAUGAAGUUCCUUCGGGAACGAAUUUAGCGGCGGACGGGUGAGUAACACGUGGCAACCUGCCUCAUAGAGGGGAAUAGCCUUCCGAAAGGGAGAUUAAUACCGCAUAAGAUUGUAGUACCGCAUGGUACAGCAAUUAAAGGAGUAAUCCGCUAUGAGAUGGGCCCGCGGCGCAUUAGCUAGUUGGUGAGGUAACGGCUCACCAAGGCGACGAUGCGUAGCCGACCUGAGAGGGUGAUCGGCCACAUUGGGACUGAGACACGGCCCAGACUCCUACGGGAGGCAGCAGUGGGGAAUAUUGCACAAUGGGGGAAACCCUGAUGCAGCAACGCCGCGUGAGUGAUGACGGCCUUCGGGUUGUAAAGCUCUGUCUUCAGGGACGAUAAUGACGGUACCUGAGGAGGAAGCCACGGCUAACUACGUGCCAGCCGCCGCGGUAA